GAACGUUCGCCCCUCUAAGGGGUGCAGUCCGACUUGGGUCAAGGAACGGGGACCCGAG
ncrna:Synechococcus sp. BL107 Glutamine-II riboswitch (downstream peptide RNA)